UACGUAGGGGGCAAGCGUUGUCCGGAUUUAUUGGGCGUAAAGAGCGUGUAGGCGGCCAGACAGGUCCGUUGUGAAAACUUGAGGCUCAACCUCGAGACGCCGAUGGAAACCGUCUGGCUAGAGUCCGGAAGAGGAGAGUGGAAUUCCUGGUGUAGCGGUGAAAUGCGCAGAUAUCAGGAGGAACGCCGGAGGCGAAAGCGAGUGACUGGCGCGUUCCUGACGCUGAGGUGCGAAAGCUAGGGGAGCAAACAGG
rnacentral:rRNA from 1 species